UUGAGUUGCAUCCAAUUUUGUGCAAUGGACUGGCCUCUAUACAUAUUUUUGUAUGGACAAAUCGGAAGCACGGAUCAGAAGCAAGAGUUGGAGAGCUAUGGGCUUAUCCAUUUAUUUAUUUUUUUGCCUUCAGUGAAUUUUGCAGCUUCAGAACCAUUCAGAGGGGAUUUAAAAGUGUGGACAUAAUAUGAAUAAUCCUUUGAUGAGUUCCACCUGUUUGACAGAAUAUCCUUCUGAUACUUCUUGCAGCAUGAACAAUUCUCUGUACAGUGAUCUGGCUUUCACAUUUCUGGAGCUUCAAGCAAUUCAUUCAGUAAUGAACUGGCAAGAGUAUUAAGAUAGCUGAUUCUCUCUUCAAUUUCCUAAGAAGCAAAGAUCCUCCUGAGAUUCAAUGCAUGCUUAGUGAAAACGCAAACACUUCAUUCCCUAAAAUGAAAACCAAUAAAGUUACUGUAUAUCUUUUAUUCAAAUGUA